rnacentral:lncRNA from 10 species
AAACACCCAAGAAUUAUCAAUAAAAAAAUAAAUUAAAAAAAAAAAUAAAUAAAUAAAUCCAGCAAAAAUAAAAAUAAAAAAUAAAAUCCCCUUGAAUACAUUUGAGGUAAUGUUGUAGUUUUCAGCUCCUCCCACGAGAGAUUUUAUGGAGUGCCUAACUGUGCUACCCGGGUGCUGCUCCUGUCGUUAGUGGUGGCACCCAGGAGGAAUUAAAAUUACAAGAGUGUUUCCUUCCAGAUGUUGUUGCUACAGGCUCAAGGUGCUCUUUUAACUGGGACAUCAGGCUUUCUUGAAAUAGACAAGAAUUCUAGAAACAUGACAUUGUGCCUGAUUCAUCGCUUCAACUUGCCACUGACUCAUUCUCUCCUUGAUAGGUUAUUCAACAGUAACUUUAAUUACAUCAUUUACUUAUUGUUUUCUUCCUUGAUUUAUUCUCUUUCUACAAUUCUUGUUUAUCAUCUCAGUGAUUGGACCAUCUCACCUCUGAGACUUGGGUAGAAUUCUGUGGACUCUGGAAAUAGACAUGGAGGUUUUCAUGUAUCUCUGUUAAUGUGUACAAACACCCCCAGGCUUGUACACUUGAAAUACAUCAGUAGGAAGGGUAGUUCUCAAUUUGCUAGUGUUUCACACAGCUUGUCUUAUUUAAUGAUCUCAGCUGCCCUAUGAAGUAGAUACCAUCCUAUUAAAAAAUGCAGGAGCAGAGGCUCUGAGAGGGGACUGUAACUUACCCAAGAUCAUGUGGUAGAUUGCAAAACUGGUUCCAAAUCCCUACCCUUCCCUGUACGCACACCUUUUGCCAUUCAUCUGCAAUGUCCUUUUCUGAUUCUGGGCUCAGCAAUAUAACUUGCUCUGGCCAACAGGAUAACAACAGCAAAUGUGAUGUAAGCAAAAGCUUGAGAAAUACUUGUGCAACUAAUCAUGUUUGCCUUCUCUCUUGUACCUGUGCCAUUGCCAUGAGAACAUGCCUGGGCUAGGAUUAGAGACACUUGGAGCAGAGCUGAGUCAUCCCAGCUGUCCCAGUUGAGGCCAGCCUAGGUCAGUCGAUGGCAACCAAGCCCUAAGCAUGUUAGUGAGCCCAGCCAUGAUCAGCACAACCACCUAGCCAACCAUCCCAGACCUGUGAUCAAUAAAGCCUUACUAUUCCAUACCACCUAGGUUUUGUGAUUAUUUAUUUCACAGAAUUAUUAUGGCAGUAUGUAACUGAUAGAAGCGGUGUACAGGGAAGAGUAUUUGUUAGUCCGUUUUCACACUGCUGAUAAAGACAUAUGCGAGACUGAGCAAUUUACAAAAGAAAGAGGUUUAAUGGACUUACAGUUCCACGUGGCUGGGGAAGCCUCACAAUUGUGGUGAAAGGUGAAAGUCACAUCUCACAUGGCAGCAGACAAGAGAAGAAGAGCUUGUGCAGGGAAACUCCCCUUUUAAAAACCAUCAGAUCUCAUGAUACUUAUUCACUAUCAUCAGAAUAGCCUGGGAAAGACCUGUCCCCAUGAUUCAGUUACUUCCCACCGUGUCACUCCCACAACAAGUGGGAAUUCAAGAUGAGAUUUGGGUAGGGACACAGCAAAACCAUAUUAGAGCAGAUCUCUGGAAUUGGGCAGGCCAAGGUUUGAAUCCCAUCUGUUAUUUGGAGUGUGUGUUUCUUUUUGAGACUAAUCUCCUUACCCUUGAAAUGAGGUAAUAUACUUCCCUCAUAGGGUUGCUGGGAAGAUUAAACACGAGGUGAAGUAAAUAAAGCCCCAGGGACAUAAGCAAAAAAUAAUGGCUUCUCACAGCAAUGCUCCAGAACAUACAACAAGGGAAUACUGGGCCCAGUCCCAGGACUAUCCAAGUGUGAAGCCAACACCUUUUCACAUCAACUCCAAGUUCCAUGGGCUGACUGGACUCCACUGGGAGUUCUUGAUGUCUCUCGUGUGGUUGUGUGAGAUAGUGGCUGGGACUGGACUCAUCUGAAGGCUUGACUGGGCUGGAUGCCCAAGAUAGCCCACUUUUAGACAGAGGUGGCUGGCAGUUGAUGCUGACUGUCAGCUGGGGACUCAGCUGAGAGUGUUAACUGGAGUCCCUAGACGUGGCUUCUCCACAUGGCUUGGGCUUCUCAUGGAAGGGCACCUGGAUUCUGAGAGAGAGCAUCCCAAGAGACACAAGUGGAAAUGAUAAGGCUUCUUAUGACGUAGACUGGAGGUACUGAGACAUCACUUUUGCUACAUUAGAAGGUUAGAUGCUGACAUUUUAUGAUUUCACAACUUGGAUCCUCUGUCCUCUGAUACUGAAUCAGAUAGUAGUUUAUGGAGCUGAGCAGAGAGCCAGCUGGUCCUGGGCACAGAGGAGGCUGUGUUCCAUGCUGAAGACAAGAACAUAUGGUGGACGUACCAUCCUAACUAUCUGGGAAGGGAGCUUCGUGGCUACAUGGGAGUUAUCAUCUGCCAGUGCCGGCUGCAUCCUGGCUGUGCCCACCUCUGGACUCUGAAUCUCUGCACCUCAGUACCCCCAACCCCAACACGACUGUGAUGUUAGGCAUAUAUUAGGCAUGUGAAGAUGAGAAAGAGAAGAUACAGCUCCCAUGUUUAUCUCCAUGAGAAGAUAAGCCACAGGGAGAGAGAAAGACUGUUGUGCACGAGAGGGAGUGUCAAAUGCCAAAUGGAUGUCAGCAGUCGGGGUGUGCUAGAGGCACUCAGGGGAAGGGAGGCUGGGCAUAGAGGGUCAUGCUGGAGGAGGUGACUCUGGAUCUGAAUCUUGAAAGGUGAGUAGGAAUUACUCAAGGAAGGAAUGGGAAGGGCAUUUCAGGGGAGAGAUCCAUGUGAGUGAAAUAUGAGGACUGGCAGGGAACAGCAACCCACGUGGGUAACCGCAGAGUGACAGGAGGUGAGAGGUGGUGGGAGAUGGAGCUGGAGAUGCAGGCAGGGCCCAGGGUCAUGCAGGGCCUGGGAGGACAGGUUACAAUAUUCCCAUUUUCCUAGACUAGGACCUAGAAGCUCGGGAAGAUAAAGGGACUUGACUAAGGUCACAUAACUUGUAAGUGACCAGUCAGGCUUCGAACCCAGGACUCUGUGACGCCUCAGUCUCACCCCCUUUGCAUCAUCGUGUAAUGGCAGUUGCUGCUGCUGGUUUUCCCAGCUCCCUCUCCCAUUUCUCUGAGGCUCCUGGCAGACAAAGGGUGUUGCUUUUCUGCACCAUUUAUUGUAGUGACUUCAAUUAAACCAUCUUGUGCUGGAUCAGUGAGCAGCUCUAGGGAAUCGAUGAGCAGCACUGGCUACCAGGGAAGCAGAGUCUCCUCCCUUUGUUCCUGCCAAUCCUAGGUCUGGGUUCCUGUCCCCAGGUCUAGGGAGGACUCAAGAGAGGAAAUGGGGACCAGGGGGGCAGGUAGCAAAUCAUGAGACAAGGAAGCAAGUGUCUAUUACCUUCCUGACAUUGAGGGUGGGUGGCCAGCCCUUGGAUGUUCAUCUUUCCUGGCCCUGCCCACUGCUGCCCUUGCUCAGCUGCCUUCCUCUGGCUAAUUGGGACCUGCAGCUGCAGCUCCAAGACAAUGGGGCAUCCCACCUGGCUGCCUUCGGUGCAGGCCCAGUGUGCAAGGAACCUGGGCCCCAAGGAAGAGGAGCUAAGGGCCCUGUCCUAACUUGCUACAUGGCCUUUGGCAGAUUGCCUCCACUCUCUGAGGCUUCUUCUGGGGAAAAACAACAGGGUGGAAAUUGCAGUACAUGAUGCUGUUGUUCUCCACUUGUCGUCUUCAAUUCAUUGUCUCUCCUUCUUAGAAUUGCUCUGUGCCUCAGAAGGCUGAUCCCUGUGGAAUGAAUCAAUGGGUUCCUGUGUCUAUUGGCUCCAGUAUGAUUUGGCCACUGGGAGACACAGGCAGGAGGCUGGAAAGUGGGAGAGUAUUUCUUCUCUGCUACCUCUCUGCUUUGAUGCAGGGUUGGGCCAGUGCCAUUCUGCCUGGCUAUAGCUUCUUUCCAGCAGUCCUUCCCACUGCUCCAGGCCUCAGUGGGCUCCAGUAACCUUCUUUAGGCCCAUGGGUGGUUUCCAGCAUGAUAUGGUUUGGAUCUGUGUCCCUGCCCAAAUCUCAUGUGGAAUUGUAAUCCCCAUUGUUGGAGGUGGGGCCUGGUGGGAGGUAAUUGGAUCAUGAGGGCAGUUUUAAUGCUUAAGCACCAUUCCCCUAGUGCUGUUCUCAUGAUAGGGUUCUCAUGAGAUCUGGUUGUUUAAAAGUGUGUAGCACCUCCACCCUCUCUCUCUUCCUCCUGCUCUGGCCAUGUGAAUGCCUGCUCUGGCUUUGCCUUCUGCCAUGAUUAUAAGUUCCCUGAGGUCUCCCCAAAAGCAGAUGCUGCCAUGCUUCCUGUACAGCCUGUGGAACUGUGAGCCAAUGAAACCUCUUUUCUUUUUUUUUGAGACACAGUCUCGCUCUGUGGCCCAGGCUGGAGUGCAGUGGCAUGAUCUCGGCUCGCUGCAACCUCCACUUCCCGGGUUCAAGUGAUUCUCCCACCUCAGCCUCCUGAGGAGCUGGGAUUACAGACACUCCCCACCAUGCCUGGCUAAUUUUUGUAUUUUUAGUAGAGAGAGGGUUUCACCAUGUUGGCCAGGCUGGUCUCGAACUCCUGACCUCAAGUGAUCUGCCUGCCUCCGCCUCUCAAAGUGCUGGGAUUACAGGCAUGAGCCACCAUACCCAGGGCCUCUUUUCUUUAUAAAUAACCGAGUCUCAGGUAUUUAUAGCAAUGCGGCAACACACUAAUACACAGCAGUUUGCAGUCUCUGGGUUUCUCAAUAUUCUUCUUGGUUUCUUUAAUCUAGCCUUCUGUAAAUAGUACCUCCUCAGUAAGGUCUCUUCAGUUGAACUAUUUGAGCAGAGUUCUGUUUCCUGUUGGGACACUGAUGUAUUCUCUGAAGGCUCUUUCCAACUCUGAAGUCUUACACGUUCGUGAGGGGACGAUGUAACGACCUGGCUGACUCUCAGGCACCGGAGCCUGGGUUAUCCCGUGACAGUUUACAGGCUGAGUGAUCCCAGCUCCUCGGUAGUUCUUUCUUCCCCUCCUUUGGUCCUCAACCUUCACAGCCUUUGCUCAGAUUCCCAUCAUUUAUUUCUUGUUUUAAUCCGACUUUAUUGAGGUAUAAAUUACAAAUAGCAAACUACAUCCAUGAAAGUAUACAGUUAGAUGAAUACCUAUCUGUUAAAGCUUGAAUGUUUGUGUCCCUCUAAAUUCAUGUUGAAACUUAAUCCCCAUUGUGGUGGUAUUAACAGGUGGGGCCUUUUGGGAACUGAUUAAGUCAUGAGGGUUCUUCCCUUGGGAAUGGGAUUAAUGCUCUUGUAAAAGAGGCUUCAGAGGCUGGGCGUGGUGGCUCACGCCUGCAAUCUCAGCACUUUGGGAGGCUGAGGUGGGCGGAUCACAUGAGGUCAAGAGUUCAAGACCAGCUGGCCAACAUGGUGAAACCCCGUCUCUACUCAAAAUACAAAAAUUAGCUGGGCAUGGUGGCAGGCACCUGUAAUCCUAGCUACUCAGGAGGCUGAGGCAGGAGAAUCACUUGAACCUAGGACACGGAGGUUGCAGUGAGCCUAGAUUGUGCCAUUGCAUUCCAGCCUCGGCAACACGAGCAAAACUCUGUCUCAAAAAAAGAGGCUUCAGAGAGCUGCCUGGCCCUUCUCAUCCUUCUGCCAUGUGAAGACAUAGCGUGCAUCCCCUCUGGAGGGUAUAGGAACAAGGUGUCAUCUUGGAAGGAGAGAGCAAGCCCUCACCAGACACCAAAUCUACCGGCACCUUGACCUCCAGAACUUGCAGUUCCUGUUCUCCUGGCUGGACCCUGACUGAUGCCAUGGGGAAAGCCCUCGGGCUCGUGGACCUUAAAUUCCAGGUCCUGUUGUGCCCAACUCAUGAUUUAUCCAGGUCACACCAGUCUGGUCUGUCACAGUAAGAGGGCACCAUCACAUACACUAUAAUAUGAAUCAUGACCCCCGGAGUUGUGUGGAGUUUCUGCAUCUCUCCCUCCCCACUGUGGCUACCCUCAUCCAGCAACCAUCCUGUCUCUCACCGGUAUUACCGCAGCUGAGACCCAGGUCUUAAGGAAGCUGAGACCCAGGCCAGCAGGGGCCUCACAGCUUGGAAAAAGAGGAGGGUGUAAGACUCUGGAUGAAGCUGAGAGAUCCUUCCAUGCUUGGCUGAGAGACUACACAGACAUGAGCUUCAGGAGACUCCAAAGCCUCGGAUCCCCUUCUAAACUAGCACUGAAUUCUGAUUGGCUGUCUUUGCCUGCCUCAGUUUGUUCCUUUUACUGAUUGGCUAGGUUCUUCUGCCCAUGGCAGAGCCCUGCUCCAGCCACCGGAUCCUCCCACCUGCCACAGUGUCACCUGGGAUUGGCUGGGCUCUGAAAGGCCAGGCUGGCUUGACUCUUGCCAUCAUCAGAUUCUUCCUCAUUAAACAAAUGAAUCACAAUCCUAAUUAAUUUGAGCAACAGAAUUUAUGUAACUACUCCCAGCAGGAUGUCUGCUCUCAGUCAGCAGAGAGAUUACUUCCUCUCUCUGGGAAAUUCCAGCCUUGCUGGUCAAUAAGCCUUAAUGAUGACUGAAAUCUCCCAUCUGUCUCUGCUCAGGGCAGGUAACCCCUACUAAGCAGACACCCAGUUGGCUCGAGGCAGUACCCCGGGCACCGGCAGGACAAGGACAACGAUCUCCCAGCCUAGAUGUGUCCUGAGCCACAUGGAGCACACAGAUUACAGGAUCUGACUCCCAUUUGGGCCUUCCACCUCCGCUGGCCUAAGCAGUCAAGUGUCAGAGAGCACUGGACCUAACAGCUCCCUCACCAGAGCAGCUGUGAUUCCUUCUUCAUUUCCAGCAGGGAAGACCCAACAACUUUUAUAAUAUGGGAUUUCUUUUAUUCUCAUGAUAAUAAUGUUCAUUGUGGAAAAUAAAAAAAAAUGAUAAAAUAAAAAUCAGCCAGAAUUCCAACUUCUGGAGAUUUUGGUGUCUUUCUGCAAAGUUCCUAUGCACAUAGAUACUUUAUAAAAUUAUGAACAUACUGUACAUACAGUUUUGGAAUAUGCCUUUUUCCUUCUGUCAUGAAAAAGUCUUCAAAUGCCUUUUAACAGCUACACAAUAGUUCACUACAUGAACCAACUCAAAUGUAACUAUUUUUGGCCUUUUGUUAUAAAUAACACAAGAACCCUCAGUCUUUGUUACAUAAUGUCCUAACAGAGUAGGGGAAAUGCUCCCCAAUCCGGUGCAAUGUCCUGUGCCCAGGGAAACCAAUU